CAGUCAUGAUUCUUUCUUUUCCCUCCAGAAAGGCUAUAGUUACUCAGCAGAUCCCUUCUGAGUUCUAUAUACUCCUACAUAUGUGCAACAUUUCCUGAGACCACAUAGAGCUCCAGAGAAUGAAGAAAUGCUGUUCUUCAGGCCUGGAAUCAAAGAGGCCAUUUGAUCUUUAGUUAAGUGGCACCAACCUGGAGCUAUAUAUCCAGGAGCUGCUGUAGCCCCCACAAACGCUCCCCUUGUCAGAGUUCCUCUUCCUCUGCCCCGAACUGCCUGGACUGCUGCAGAUACUGCCGUAUUCACAACGCCCUUUGCCUGUAGUAACAACAACAAUAAUUUCAUCAUGGAGAGAAAGAACUUUCCAACUCUCAUCUACUAUGGAGCUUCAGCUAAGAAAGAUGCCCUGGCUUAAAAAGGAAUCUAUCCCCAUUCUCUGCUUCCUAACUGUGGCUACACUGGGCCAGCAGCCGCCUCCUCCUGCCAUUAUGCUUGACCCAUGAUGAGUCAGUGUCACCUGCCAUCUGAGAACGUUUAUGGAGAAGUUACUACACUUGAAUAAAAAGGACACCACCAGCACUCACCUUGCUAGGCCACGGAUUACUCAAUUGCUAACUAGAUGACUUCAAAUAUCAAUUUAACAGACAAUACAUCUAAAACAACCAAAAUUAAAGUCACUGUUGUUUUUACUU